UCCAUAUCAUCAACGAAUAUAGACUUCAUAUAGAAGAACGGUUCGUAUAGCGGCGAGGGGACGGAAAGCGAUAGUUCGGUACGCUCCGCGAGAUGGCGGCAGCCAUCAAUUUCUAUCGUGCUGUCUCUCUCACUCUCACGGCGCCAUUCAAAUUUUAAGCUUGCAGUCGUCAAGUCAGCCGAAUGUCAAUCUCCUUGCUACAUGAAUGUUAUAAAAUUAAAUAAUAGCAGCGUAGAUGUAAAUAAUAAAUAAAUAUUAUAUGUGACGCACUAUGAAAAUUGUAAUAGUGUAUAAUAGUUUAAUUAUUACGUGAUACUUAAAAUUUAAUUUUCGCUACAGUGUGCGUAAAAACAAUAAAUCGGGAUACUUGCUCUUAGUUAAUAUUAGUUUGUUUAUAAUUAAAAACAGCCAUCAAAAUAAAAACAAUCAAACUAAUAUUAUUCGAUGGAAACCAAUCGGGAAGGUGGCUAAGUUUUCUUCCAUCAGGAAAAGGAUAGGAUAAAAGGAAAGCAUAGGUGUAGGAAUGGCGAUGAUGAUACACAUAAAUUAUUUACAUUUCAUGCAACUAUCGAUCAACACUCAUGCAACUGCUGUUAAUGAAGGUAUUUACAAAUAUUUAAUUAAUUAAAGAAAAGAAAAGAAUAUGAAAAAUCAAAACAAACUAUGAUUUAAUUAAUGAGUUAAAAUAUUUAUUAUGCGCAUGCAAUUAAAUACAAAUGAUUUUAUAUUGAUGAGUGAUUAAAAGUUGUAAACAAAAAUAAUUUUAAAUAAAAAGCAGUGCUUAUUCUAUUUAAAAAAAUUAAUACCGUUUAUCGACAAUUUAUAAGAAUUCCUCUGUGAACAAAAUAAAAUAUAAAGUAUGAAGUAAUAAUUGGCUGAGACGACACAAUAAGCAAAUAAGCACUUUGAUUAUCUUCGAGACAUAAAAUGGGAAACUGACAGGAGCUGCGUUUUCGCGGUUUUUUCCUAGUCAGAAAAAUAUGGUUGUCGCAACCAAUACUUUUGUAAAACCUCCUUACACACUCAUUAUUCAUUUUCUUGUCAUUUAUUUACUUUCAUUAUUGUUAAAAAGUAUAUUUUACAUAAUAUACUGCAUGAAUGAUGAAUCGUCUGCUUGUGCGUGCUCAUAUGCGCGCCAAGCUGUAGGAAACUCAUAGGUGGCGCCGCCGAGCGGUUGGGUAACAGAACUAACGGCCUGUUACCCAAGCUUUCGUCCCCCCAUUUUAACCCAGAACCGUUCUUCUAUAGGAAGUCUAUAUUCGUUGAUAUCAUAUACCCGCGCCGCGCAUGCGCUCACGCGCCACGUGCGCUCGACAACGGAAGAAUUGCAUUUUAUUGGUUUUUUACAAUAUCUAUCGCAUUUUAUCAAUUUUUAACGAUGGUGCAAUUAGAUUCGAGUAGCGUGCAGUUUAUUUAUGUUUUAAAAAAUGCGAAUUUCCAAGUAUAUAAUCUGAGUUUAACCUUAUAAGUUGCGCGAUCUUGACCUAUUUUUUAUUCGUUAAUUACGGGGGUGCAAUUAAAAUAAUUGUUAUUUUUGGAAGGUGCUAUUAAAAAUACGUGCCUCUAUAUUUUUUUUUAUACCGAUAUUCCAAAUUCGUAGGCUGGGGUAGGGUAGGUAAAUAUGGACUUGAAAUCCAUUUUUAUACACAUGCCUUUAGUACUUUAAUUGUAGCUUAAAAUGGUUCGGAGAUCAGUAAAAAUGCGGUAUGAUGAAAAAAACUGCCAAAGGCCGCAUAAGCUGUCAUAAGGGAUGACUGCACUGAAAAAAAACACAGUCGUUUCUGCUGUAAAGUCCGGUAGUUUUAACCGUUCUGCCACCGUGACGACUGUUCAGUAAGAACAACGGUGUGCCACUGGUAGUUUUGGCGAGUUGCGACCCGUAAAAUGGGUCGCUUACGCGCCAGCAAAAACGAGCGAACUGAUUCUUUGAAACUAUUGAACUCUACGGUAAUUUUGGCGAGUCUUCGUACAAUGACGGAUUACUGGUGCGAUUUCAGUUAAAAUGGCUGAGUUUUUUUUCAGUGCGUAAAAGCUUCACCUACGUCAUACAGAACUUAUAAAAAAUCAAAAAAUUAAGUUUGAAACACUAUGAGUACAAUUUUCUGAUUAAUUUUUUCACCCCAUUCUGUAGUUAAAUUCAAUCUGUAUAAUAUUGCCCCAUGACCGUUAUAGGAUUGCAUCGUACUUAUUUUGUGUGUGUGUGUGUGUAUAUAUAUAUAUAUAUAUAUAUAUAUACAAUAAGUACGAUGGAUGGUCGUUGGCAAUAUAACUCUCGGUCGUGACGUCAUCAACAUGGACACCCAGGCCAUGCAGAAUACAUUGUCAGUAUACGGAGUAGAGCAGUAUUUUCUAAUUUUUUACGUAAAAAAGUGAACUAUAGAGUAAUAGUUUUUUUGGUGCAUUCCCUGGGUUAAUAUAACAUCAGAAAAUACGUAGAUUAAUUUUUUUUUGCGUGACAGUAUUGUAUUUUCUUUAAUAAUAGAAAAACUCGUUUUGGAGCAUAACCUCUCACGAUAAACAAUGAUAGUAAAACACUUCAAGAAAUUUUUAAAUUUGUUGAGUGUACAAGCUCAAGUAGAAAUUUUAUUGAAGGAGAAAGAGUGCUUAAUUCUAAGCACAUAUUGAAAUGUGGUAAAUUAGAAUCUGCAGAGAAUUUAAAUAUACGCGCAUACUGUUUACAAACAUCCAAUUUGAGAGGACCACCUCAUGAAAUUAGUGGAGUUAUUGGAAUAAAUGGCUCAAUUAUUAGUUUUAAUUGCUCAUGUAAAGCAGGGCAAAGUGAAAGAUGUAAACAUGUUGUUGCUGUGCUAGUUUAUUGCUACAGAUGUAACGAUUGUAGUGAAUUGGAAUUAUUAUUGAGUACAGAUGUCAAGUGUACAUGGAAAACACCACAAAAAAAGGCUUUAGAGCAAUAUCAAGCAACUACCGUUGAACAACAUGAGUGCUACAAUAAAUUAUAUAAAGGCUGUGAUACAAUCUGUCUGCUCAUCAGAUAUCUCAAUUGCAAGAAAGAUUGUUAAACUCUUCUAAAAAUGCACUUACAAAGCACAUUACUGGAAGACACGAAGUUUUAGAUGUUAACAGUAAUAACAAUCAUGAUGAUAAAACUUUAGAACUAAUAAAAGCAAUAGUCUAUAAUGAGGAAUCAGACGUUAUGAAAAGAGUAGCUUUAGUUUCAGUUUCAACACUGAAAGAUUGUUGUUAUGAAAAGUUGAUCAGUUUUUACAAAGAAGAUAUUCUUGUUUCUUGUAUUGAAUCGGAAAGUAAUAAUGCAGAAUGGAGGAAAAUUCGACAACACCGUGUGACAAGAUCAAGAGUAUAUAAAUUAUAUACGUACAGUCCAAAUAAGAAGCCUGAUUGGAAAAACAAGUCUUUAUCGUACUUUAAUCCAAAAUCUUUUAAAAGCAAAUAUACAAACCAUGGGAUUAAAUAUGAGCAAGAAGCAAUAACAGAAUAUGAAAAGUACACAGGAACAACGGUUACAAGAUGUGGAGCUGUUAUUUCAAGAUCGAAUGCUUGGAUGUCGUACACUCCAGAUGGUGUAAUUGUAACAAAUGGUAAACCUUCUUUGUUAUUAGAAGUGAAAUGUCCUUACGCUGGUAAAUUCAAAGGUAUAACUGAAGUACUAUCAAGCUUGAAAUAUAUUAAAAUAACUGGAGAAAGUGUUGUAUUUACAGAAAGACAUGAAUACUAUGCUCAAAUACAAAUGGGAAUGGCCAUUUUGAAUGUAUCAUCAACAGCUUUUAUGAUCUAUGCAUCAUCAGACUCCAGUUUUAUUAUUUUUGAUGUACCAUAUAAUGAAAAUUAUAUAUUCAAUGUUUUAGCCAACGUUAAAAGAUCUUAUUGUGAUAAGAUGCUCCACUAUAUCUGUUCAGAAGAAAUAGAAAAUGUACAAAAUGAAAACAAUAUAGUUUGAAACAAUAAAACAUUUUAUUAUUAAAUAUAAAACUUAUGAAUAUAAUUAUUUAUUAAAUUUGUCAUCUUUCAAUAUAGGACAAUAUAGGAAUAUUAGACAAUAUAGGAAAAAUUUUUAAUCUUUGAUUAGAUCUCUCUAUGUGUACUCGAGCUUUAGCAAUCUUCGCGUUCAAUAGAGCUUCUUCUUUUGAAAAUUGAAUUUUAUUUGUUAAAAAAGGUGGUCUUAUUAACUGCACAUUGUGUUCUCGACAAGCAUCAUCAAUCAAAAAACCUUUAUCUGUCAUUAAACCAUCUCCAGGUUCGAAUAAUUUAAUAAAAUUACUCUUAUAAAAAAUCGCCUUAUCGGAACUUCUUCCUGAGAAUGCCUUGCUAAUAAAUGUGAUCAGACCUCCUGGUGAUACUGCUGUCAUAAAUCUAACAGUAUUAUCACUUUUGUAU